rnacentral:rRNA from 1 species
UACGGAGGGUGCGAGCGUUAAUCGGAAGUACUGGGCGUAAAGCGCGUGUAGGCGGCUUUGCAAGUCGGGUGUGAAAGCCCUCAGCUCAACUGAGGAAGUGCGCCCGAAACUGCAGAGCUUGAGUGCCGGAGAGGGUGGCGGAAUUCCCCAAGUAGAGGUGAAAUUCGUAGAUAUGGGGAGGAACACCGGUGGCGAAGGCGGCCACCUGGACGGUAACUGACGCUGAGACGCGAAAGCGUGGGGAGCAAACAGG